rnacentral:rRNA from 1 species
GAAUGCUGACAUAAGUAACGAUAAAGCGGGUGAAAAGCCCGCUCGCCGGAAGACCAAGGGUUCCUGUCCAACGUUAAUCGGGGCAGGGUGAGUCGACCCCUAAGGCGAGGCCGAAAGGCGUAGUCGAUGGGAAACAGGUUAAUAUUCCUGUACUUGGUGUUACUGCGAAGGGGGGACGGAGAAGGCUAUGUUGGCCGGGCGACGGUUGUCCCGGUUUAAGCGUGUAGGCUGGUUUUCCAGGCAAAUCCGGAAAACCAAGGCUGAGGCGUGAUGACGAGGCACUACGGUGCUGAAGCGACAAAUGCCCUGCUUCCAGGAAAAGCCUCUAAGCAUCAGGUAACAUCAAAUCGUACCCCAAACCGACACAGGUGGUCAGGUAGAGAAUACCAAGGCGCUUGAGAGAACUCGGGUGAAGGAACUAGGCAAAAUGGUGCCGUAACUUCGGGAGAAGGCACGCUGAUAUGUAGGUGAAGCGACUAGCUCGUGGAGCUGAAAUCAGUCGAAGAUACCAGCUGGCUGCAACUGUUUAUUAAAAACACAGCACUGUGCAAACACGAAAGUGGACGUAUACGGUGUGACGCCUGCCCGGUGCCGGAAG